AUGUGUAUAGCUCAGUGGUAGAGUGCAUGGUUAGUAUGCAUGAGGUCUGGGGUUCAAUCCCUAGUACCUCUA
rnacentral:tRNA from 1 species